GACGAACGCUGGCGGCGUGCUUAACACAUGCAAGUCGAGCGGUAAGGCCCUUUCGGGGGUACGACGAGCGGCGAACGGGCGAGUAACACGUGGGUGACCUGCCCUCAGCUCUGGGAUAAGCCUGGGAAACCGGGUCUAAUACUGGAUAUGACUCCAUGACGCAUGUUGUGGGGUGGAAAGCCUUGUGCGGCUGAGGAUGGGCCCGCGGCCUAUCAGCUUGUUGGUGGGGUGANGGCCUACCAAAGCGACGACGGGUAGCCGGCCUGAGAGGGCGACCGGCCACACUGGGACUGAGACACGGCCCAGACUCCUACGGGAGGCAGCAGUGGGGAAUCUUGCGCAAUGGGCGAAAGCCUGACGCAGCGACGCCGCGUGAGGGAUGACGGCCU
rnacentral:rRNA from 1 species